rnacentral:rRNA from 1 species
UACGUAGGGCGCAAGCGUUGUCCGGAAUUAUUGGGCGUAAAGAGCUCGUAGGCGGUCUGUCGCGUCGGCUGUGAAAGCCCGGGGCUCAACCCCGGGUCUGCAGUCGAUACGGGCAGGCUAGAGUGCGGUAGGGGAGACUGGAAUUCCUGGUGUAGCGGUGGAAUGCGCAGAUAUCAGGAGGAACACCGAUGGCGAAGGCAGAUCUCUGGGCCGUAACUGACGCUGAGGAGCGAAAGCGUGGGGAGCAAACAGG